rnacentral:rRNA from 1 species
UACAGAGGGGGCAAGCGUUGUUCGGAAUUACUGGGCGUAAAGGGCGCGUAGGUGGCCUUCUAAGUUGAACGUGAAAUCCCUGGGCUCAACCCAGGAACUGCGUCCAAGAACUGGGAGGCUUGAAUCCGGGAGAGGGAUGCGGAAUUCCAGGUGGUAGCGGUGAAAUGCGUAGAUAUCUGGAGGAACACCGGUGGCGAAGGCGGCAUCCUGGACCGGUAUUGACACUGAGGCGCGAAAGCGUGGGGAGCAAACAGG